rnacentral:lncRNA from 1 species
UUAGACAUGAUUCAUUAUAUAUUGUGUUAUCAACCUGGGAUGUAUGACCUGAACUUUGUGUCUUGAACAAAUUUUAUGUUCAUGACUUUGUUCCAGUUUAGUGGUAGACAUAAGACUUGCUCGUACAAUCCAAUUUGAAUUAUGCAUCUCAAACUUAUUUGAUUCACUUGAAAUUCUUGUAAAUUAUUUACUUGCAUUUAAUCAAAUGUAUCUAUUUGAAAAUUUUUGUUUCACGACAAACAAAGUUUUAAGUUAAGAAGAUUUGAUAAGUGUUAAAAUAUUGUUUUUUUCUAUAGCACUUAUCAACUUGUUUUUUCAAGAAAUCAAUCAUAGAAAACCCCCAAUUCUAUACAAUUAUUGUUUAUAUUAGUAUAGUAUUCAAGAAAGCUAUUACGUCCAAUUAUUAUACACUUUUAUAGGUUUAAGACAAUGAUUGUACCAAUGCGGAGUAAUUAAAGGCGAGCGUACACGCCAGAGUAUACCAAAACAUAUGAAGACAACCACUGUUCGCUAAGCAUGCAUGCCAAAGUGAAGGCGAGUCUAAAUAGAUGAUUCUAGAAGAUCUAAGCCAAAAUUGAUUUGCUAAGCACAUGAGUUGUGCUUAGCGAUCAAAGGUGCUUACUUCACCUGGAAGGAAAAGCAAAGACAGUUCCAUAAGCACAAAAGUUAUGCUUAGCGAGCAAUGGUUAACUAUAUAUAUAUAUAAAAGGGUCUUGCUAACCAUUGCCAUCAGGGCAAUGGUUAAAGAAGUCAAAAGUAGCAUGUUUACAUUUGUUUCAACAACAUUUUAACUUUUAAAAAGUUAAAUUUAUCAUUUUUCACCAUUUUCUAAUGUUAUAUUUCUAUUUUUAUCCCUUAUCAAAUGCCC